CAGAGAGGGACGAUAAAUAGCCGAGGAAAACAUGUUUACGUUCUAAUAUGUCUCAAGCAAAGUUCAGCUGUGGUGUUUUGAACUUUUUGGUCUUUUUGGAUAAGAUUUAAAAUCGGACAUCUGCUAUUACAUUUUAGUAACAUAAUGUGCUUUUUGUGAGAUAAAAUGGCGGCCAAUAUUAAAGAUAAAGAAGCUUUUCAGAGGCUGAACUUCCUCUAUCAAGCUGCACAUUGUGUAUUGGCUCAAAAUCCUGAGAAUAUAGAACUGGCCCGAUUUUACUGCUUCACUCAGAAGACCAUCGCCAAACGCCUGGUGCUGAGACAGUGAGUAGUAGGGAGUACUGUUUACAGGCUUCAGGAGACCCCUCAGUGAAAAGGACCCUGUGUAAGAAAUGCUGUGCUUUACUGAUCUCUGGGGUUACAGCAACUGUUCGGCAAAGAAAAAGUUCUCGGAGGCAGCGUGUAACAAUAAUACGAUGUCUCAGUUGUGGGCAAACCAAAAAGUUUCCUAAUAACCCAAAACAUCAGCUGUGGGUGGACCAACCAGAGGCUCAGUUAGAGAAUCAGCUUCAGCCAGAAGCCAGUUCAUCAUCCAAGGCUGAUGAAUCCAGUACUGUGGCUCCUGUGAUCCAAGAUGUUGCCUCUUGAGUUCAAACUGAACUCCUUUAUUUUCAUCGCUGAGCAUCAGCAUUAGAUGUUUUCUGCUGUGACCUUUUAUUUAUUUAUAUUUUUUUAAAGGUUAGGUAAGGAUAAUGGUGAGAACAGUGUCUUUACAAGCCCAUUGUGGUAAUACUUGGUUAACUUUAUUUCAGACAGCAACAAGUGCUUGAGCUGGGUGAUUCAUGUAAUUUGCGAAGUUGAAUCCCAGCUGCAAUGUGUCCUGUAUCAAGUAAUUCUGGGAAAUUACCAGUGUACUAUAGCCUCUGUUAAACAGAAGCUGCAAAACUUUAAUUUAGGUUUUAAGUUAUUGCUUUACAUCUUGUUUUACAGGCACAUCUUAUGAAGCAUAAUGUCAUUGUGUAAAGUUUGACAUAUGUAGAUUGUUCAGUAGAAAAAUAAAU